AUACAGAGGGUGCAAGCGUUAUUCGGAAUUACUGGGCGUAAAACGCGCGUAGGCGGAUGAUUAAGUCAGUUGUGAAAGCCCUGGGCUCAACCUAGGAACUGCAUCUGAUACUGGUCGUCUAGAGUUUAAGAGAGGGAAGUGGAAUUCCAGGUGUAGCAGUGAAAUGCGUAGAUAUCUGGAGGAACAUCAGUGGCGAAGGCGACUUCCUGGCUUAAAACUGACGCUGAGGUGCGAAAGCGUGGGUAGCGAACGGGAUUAGAAACCCCAGUAGUCC
rnacentral:rRNA from 1 species